UUUUUCCCCUGGUUUUCCCCUCAUUAAGCUGUUAGUGCUGGGAAAAGAAAUGAGCCUUAUCUGGUUUCUGGUUUGCUACCUGCCUAACCAUUAUCAGCUGGCAUCAGGUAAAGAAAUGAGCCUGAAAGAGUGAGGGACAGGUGCAGAUGCUGGAAGCCAGAGAGGUCAAAGGAGUCACAUUGGUGAAAGAAAUGAGAAUUUUUCUUAAUACUUUGCUUUAAAAUGAGCUGUUCCAUGGGACUCCUGUGGAUUUGCAUUGUAUGGUUGGAUUUUCAGGUGUCUAACAAAGGAGAAGUGGUAAUCAGAGGUGUACUGUGUUCAGUUUUGGGUCCACAAGAAAGAUGUUGAGACCCUGGAGUUUGUCCAGAGAAGGGCAAUAGAGCUAUGAGGGAUCUGGAGCACAAGUCUUAAGGGGAGCAGCUGAGGGAACUGAGUUUGUUCAGUCUGGAGAAGAGGAGGCUCAGGGGAGACCUCAUCACUCUCUACAGUGAACUGAAAGAAGGUUGUGGUGAGGUGAGGGUUGGAUUCUUCUCUCAGAUUAAGAUGAUAGAACAAAAGGCCUUAAGUUGCCCCAAGGGAGGUUCAGGUUGGAUAUUAGGAAACAUUUCUUCUCAGGAAGAGCAGUACUGCAGUGGCACAGGCUGCCCAAGUGGUGCAGUCACUGCCCCUGGAGGUGUUCAAGAACCGUGUGGAUGUGGCACUGAGGGAAGUGAGCAGUGGGCAUGGUGGGGGUGGGCUGGUGGCUGGAUGAGAUGAUCUGAGGGGUCUUUUCCAACCUUAAAUGAUUCUACACCAGUGACUCCAUCAUGUGCAAUUCUGUUGAUUGAUUUCUCUCUUUCCUUUUUUUUUUUUUUUAAAAUUUAUGAGGUUGAAUGAAGAAUUACAGCCUAAAAGAAGUGCAGCUGCUGCGCGUCAUCAGAUUUGAGUGUUUUCCAUCAAGCUGUUUAUCCUGGAGUUUGAUAAAGCAGCAGAGUAAGCACCUGGCCCCAAGUCCUUGGUUGGGAAACUACAGCCCUUGUUCAUGGAUGUACUGCUGGGGUUAUCAGGAAAAACAAAGGAAUGCCUACAACCCUACAGCAAACUGUCUGGGAAAUUUUUACAUGGGAUUGCAUCUUCAUAGGAAUACUGUGGAUGAUCACAGACUGAAAGCUAUGACUUCAGCUGGCUACAGCAGCAGACUGAGUAGCAGGAAACUUAGUCUGGGAUAACGGUUUGGAUUUUGCAUGUCAUUCAGUCAGUAACCAUAGGUGACUUCUGUACCCUGGCAAACAGUUGAGAUAAAGAAAUAAAAGAAAACACAGAAACA
rnacentral:lncRNA from 1 species